rnacentral:rRNA from 1 species
CGGUGGAGGAUGUGGCUUAAUUCGAGGCUACGCGAAGAACCUUACCAGGCCUUGACAUGCACGGAUCAACCCGGUGAAAGCGGCCCCGAACGGACAGGUGUGACGAGCGCAACCCCUGUUGCUAGUUGCCAGCGGGAUGUCAAGUCUCAUGGCCUUUAUGGCCUGGCUGCAUACAUGGUGCGUACAAGGGAAGCAAGCUCGCGAGAGUAAGCAUCCCAAAAAGCGCACCUCAGUACGGAUUGCAGUGCAACUCGCCCGCAUGAAGCUGGAAUCGCUAGUAAUCGCGGUCAGCAUACGGCGGUGAAUGUGCUCCUGAGCCUUGUACACACCGCCGUCAAGCCACGAAAGUGGGGGGGGCUUAAAGCCGUCGCGCUAACCCGCAAGGGAGGCAGGCGUCUAGAUCAACUCCGUGAUUGGGACUAAGUCGUACAAGGU